GCCAGUGUGGUGUAGUGGUUUGAGCACUGAACUACAACUCUGCAGACCAAGGUUCAAAUCCCUGCUUGGCCA
rnacentral:tRNA from 1 species